UACGGAGGGUGCAAGCGUUAUCCGGAUUCACUGGGUUUAAAGGGUGCGUAGGUGGCUAUUUAAGUCAGUGGUGAAAGCCCCGCGGCUCAACCGUGGAAUUGCCAUUGAAACUGAAUAGCUUGAGUACAGUUGAAGUGGGCGGAAUACAUCAUGUAGCGGUGAAAUGCUUAGAUAUGAUGUAGAACACCGAUUGCGAAGGCAGCUCACUAAGCUGUAACUGACACUGAGGCACGAAAAGCG
rnacentral:rRNA from 1 species